rnacentral:rRNA from 1 species
AUUGAACGCUGGCGGCAUGCCUAACACAUGCAAGUCGAACGGCAGCACAGUAUGUAGCAAUACAUAUGGGUGGCGAGUGGCGGACGGGUGAGUAACGCGUGGGAAUCUGCCCUAUAGUGGGGGACAACCCGACGAAAGUCGGGCUAAUACCGCAUACGCCCUACGGGGAAGGCUUCGGCCGCUAUUGGAUGAGCCCGCGUCGGAUUAGCUAGUUGGUGAGGUAAUGGGCUCACCAAGGCGACGAUCCGUAGCUGGUCUGAGAGGACGAUCAGCCACACUGGGACUGAGACACGGGCCCAGACUCCUACGGGAGGCAGCAGUGGGGAAUAUUGCACAAUGGGCGAAAGCCUGAUGCAGCAAUGCCGCGUGUGUG